CCUACGGGUGGCAGCAGUGGGGGAUAUUGCACAAUGGGGGAAACCCUGAUGCAGCGACGCCGCGUGUGGGAAGACGGUCCUCUGGAUUGUAAACCUCUGUCAGCAGGGAAGAACGGUCACUGUGCUAAUCAGCAGUGAAUUGCCGGUACCUGCAAAGGAAGCCCCGGCUAACUCCGCGCCAGCAGCCGCGGUAAUACGGAGGGUGCGAGCGUUAAUCGGAAUUACUGGGCGUAAAGCGCUCGUAGGCGGUAUGUCAAGUCAAGGGUGAAAUCCCCGCGCUCAACGUGGGAACUGCCUUUGAAACUGGCAAACUGGAGUGUGUGAGAGGAGAGUGGAAUUCCAGGUGUAGGAGUGAAAUCCGUAGAUAUCUGGAGGAACAUCAGUGGCGAAGGCGACUAUCUGGCACAUAACUGACGCUGAGGAGCGAAAGCGUGGGUAGCAAACAGGAUUAGAUACCCUAGUAGUC
rnacentral:rRNA from 1 species